ACCACUUCUCAGCCUUUUAGCUAAGACCAAGUGUAGUAUAUGUUCCUAUCAGUUUAAAAUGCAAGAAAGAGAUAAGACCAGUCGUGGGCUACAUUAUGGGGCUACAUUAUACAUUGUCAGUUAUUUGUUUUGUUUGACAUUUAUUCAUAGUGAAUGAGAAACGGAGCUAUUGCAAGGUAUUCAGCCAUUUACAAUUU
rfam:Nomascus leucogenys chromosome 18, whole genome shotgun sequence.